UCGGAUCUAUUCUCGGAAGAAUUCUUAGAUCUAAAACCAUCGGAGAUUUCGUUGUCUUUCUUCUUUGUUUAAAGCGGGUGGAUUUUCAGUCCGAUUUCUCUUGUUUCUGUGGUUCUGCUCAGAUCUAAGGUUGUUUUCUCUCCCUGGUGAGAGUUUUGUUUUUCGCUUCUUAAUUGUAAGCGGGGUCUUGAUUUGAUGAUGAAAGUUUGUAUGGAAUCGCCGUUUUGGUCGAUAGCUCAAACGAUAGCUCUGUUAGGGCAUGAUGAAGAGGGUACCAGUAAUUCAACGAGGAUGCAUGAAGCGGGUACUUGUAUUUGUAUAUACAUUUUCUUCAAAAUAUCGUUUAACUGUCUCUUUAUGAGAACA
rnacentral:lncRNA from 1 species